GUGCCAGCAGCCGCGGUAAUACGGAAGGUCCGGGCGUUAUCCGGAUUUAUUGGGUUUAAAGGGAGCGCAGGCUGGAGAUUAAGCGUGACGUGAAAUGUAGCCGCUCAACGGCUGAGUUGCGUCGCGAACUGGUUUUCUUGAGUGAGUACGACGUCAGCGGAAUUCGUGGUGUAGCGGUGAAAUGCUUAGAUAUCACGAAGAACCCCGAUUGCGAAGGCAGCUGACGAGUCCUUUACUGACGCUAAAGCUCGAAGGUGCGGGUAUCGAACAGGAUUAGAUACCCUGGUAGUCCGCACGGUAAACGAUGGAUGCCCGCUGUUGGCGAUACACUGUCAGCGGCCAAGCGAAAGCGUUAAGCAUCCCACCUGGGGAGUACGCCGGCAACGGUGAAACUCAAAGGAAUUGACGGGGGCCCGCACAAGCGGAGGAACAUGUGGUUUAAUUCGAUGAUACGCGAGGAACCUUACCCGGGCUUGAACUGCAGAGGAAUGCGGUGGAGACACCAAAGCCCUUCGGGGCCUCUGUGGAGGUGCUGCAUGGUUGUCGUCAGCUCGUGCCGUGAGGUGUCGGCUUAAGUGCCAUAACGAGCGCAACCCCUUCCGACAGUUGCCAUCAGGUGAUGCUGGGCACUCCGUCGGUACUGCCACCGCAAGGUGUGAGGAAGGUGGGGAUGACGUCAAAUCAGCACGGCCCUUACGUCCGGGGCUACACACGUGUUACAAUGGGUGGUACAGAGAGUCGGUGCAUGGUAAUGUGCAUCCAAUCCUAAAAGCCAUCCUCAGUUCGGAUUGGGGUCUGCAACCCGACCCCAUGAAGCUGGAUUCGCUAGUAAUCGCGCAUCAGCCAUGGCGCGGUGAAUACGUUCCCGGGCCUUGUACACACCGCCCGU
rnacentral:rRNA from 1 species